rnacentral:lncRNA from 1 species
ACAGACCGUCCUGCUGCAUGGGGACUGGGGCCGUGGGUUACCUGGCUGGAGCGGCAUGGUGGUUAGGUGAGCUGCGUAGCUUUGCUGCGAGGUCAUCGCCUUUUCUUGUCUUGAUGGGGCUGGCGAGUCGUCAUCGCCAUCCGCCGUGUUGUUUCUGUGUGGGGUGUGCAUACAUUGGAGAUGGUAGAGCGGUCGAAGAGAGAAUGGUCGCGGUUGUGGUUAGGGUCAUGGUUCUGAGGACCCCUGAGUUACUGUUGCUGUUGCUGUUACUGCUGCUGUUGUUAUUACUGUGCAGUGGCGAUGAUGAGGGUCAGGAUUAUGUGCAGACAGCACACACAUCACCGAUAUGGCCGCUGUAAUUGUCAGUCUCAGUUGAUGCAAAAGGAAAAUCGAGCCGGGGGUGCCACGCACCCGCAUACGCGUGGGCCGCAGAGCCGAGUCAUGACGCAGCACAAGUAGGCCCCGCCCACACCUUGCCGGUCGCAAUGCUACCCGCCUGCCACCACCCCGGUCAACUUCACCG